rnacentral:rRNA from 1 species
ACGUAGGGGGCGAGCGUUGUCCGAAGUUACUGGGCGUAAAGCGCGCGUAGGCGGGCUGUUAAGUGAGGGGUGAAAUACCGGGGCUCAACCCCGGAACUGCCUCUCAUACUGGCAGUCUUGAGGGCGGUAGGGAAAAGUGGAAUGGCUGGUGUAGCGGUGAAAUGCGUAGAUACCAGUCGGAACACCGGUGGCGAAGGCGGCUUUUUGGGCCGUUCCUGACGCUGAGGCGCGAAAGCCAGGGGAGCAAACGGGAUUAGAUACCCCGGUAGUCCUGGCCGUAAACGAUGGAUACUAGGUGUCGGGGGUAUCGACCCCCCCGGUGCCGCAGCUAACGCAUUAAGUAUCCCGCCUGGGGAGUACGGCCGCAAGGUUG